UUAGGAAGUGCCACAUAUAUUUUUAUUAGGAAAAGAAGACGUUUUUUUUAAUCCAAUAAUACAGAUGGACCUAAAGAAAGUGGCAAGAGCCCCUUCUCACACACUUCAUCACCCUUCCUUGAAAUGUUUGUGGGUUCGUGUUUUAUCCUUAAACCUCUCUUACCUAUAUGCAAGCGGCAAAAAUACAAAUAUAUAUAAUCGAAGGAUUCAAAUACACAGCCUCUAAUCUUUUCAUCAGUAUUACAUACAUGGCAUAGCACUUUGUGUUGUUUUUGCUUAACAUGGAUAUCUUUCCAUACGGAUACCUUUUAAACACUGCUCAGAGUUCCCGGUACAUUUCUCCACAAAAGAACGCAGGCCUCACGGUCCGCCCACGGGGUGGUGCCGCUGAAAUCCGAGGAGGGCUGUAAAGGUGGUGAGGCUCCGCCCCAGGGGAUUCCCUUCGAGAGUCCUCACCCCAUGCCUCAAGGAAUGGCACGGCAAUGAAGGAGCAGAACGAACGACAAAUGUAGACUCAUUAAUUAUAUGCGGGACAGAGCUGCCCAGGGUAACGGGCCUUCCUAAAAAUAGAAUUCCAGACCGUAGCUUGUCUGAUCAAAACCUUUCCAAUGGAGGCUUCAGAAAAAUGUUCCGAGUCCCUAGCGCACGUGCUUUCUCCCAUUGGCUCAGAAUUCUUUUCCCAAGACUUCGGGGUGCAGCCACCAGGCACAGCCCAGUCAGACAUCACCAGCCCCUGAAGUCCUGGCGGCUCCUUAAUUCUGGCGUCGGCGGGGGUCCCCCGGGAUCCCCACUAAAGCCUUGGACUGGGCGCUUCUGUUCUGCGUGUCUUUGCGCCCCAGCGAGGACCGGAACCGGGUCUUUGCAGCCCGGAAAGCUUGCUCACUCCGCUCCUGGGACGCAGCAUGCUUUCAAUGAACGUCUGUCCCAUAGGUGGUCUGAAGCCUAACCAAUUAUUGAUAAUGCUCCACUCACAAGGCGCUCCAAGUGCUCUGCAAAGAUGGAAGUUCGACCAAGGCUCCGUGUGUGCUACUCGGCCUUCGGGUAUUUCCCCCUUAAAACCAGCAUGUAUUACGUUUCUAUUCAGACCACCAACACACGCAGACGCAAAGCCGUGGUACACCUAGCGUCAGAGUCACGACAGGAGCGCGCCGGGCUGUGACGGUGCAGCUUUGGGCGCUGAAUAGUUCUGGAAUUUUUUAUUAAAACCGCGCUGAGAAAACGGAGCCUCCAAAAA